UGUCUAUAGCAUAUAAUUAAUGCACUAUAUCCCAUUAGAAAUACACAGUUAAGUGCACUUGGGAUAGAUUAGUAAUGGGAUUGGUAACCACCCGAGAAGUCCUAGUGUUUUACAUGC
rnacentral:rRNA from 1 species